AACAAGAUGGAGUAAAUGUGAUAUCUGCAUACCCAUAGAACUUACAUUCUCAAAUACAUGAUUACCAAUAUGAAAACAAGCUCAUCUUUUGAUAACUAACAGUUUUCUGUAUAAAGGAAAGAGGAAACAUUGGUGAAGAGUGCUGAGAAUGCCUACAAAAUGCUGUAGACUAAAUAUGUAUGAUGUAAUCCCCUAAAAUGUUCCAUCAUAGGAAAAGAAUCAACAUGGUCUCUUUGAAAGAAGUCUUAAAGCAAUCUUCUUUUUCUAAAGCAAGUGAUAUUCAAAUAUAUAUGAGAAAAACUACGUCUGUAUUUUCAAGGUAAUUAAAAUAAAAUUGAAUGAAAUCUUCCAAGCUCACGGCAUAUCAAAUUCUAGUACAUCAACUGACUAAAACUCUUAGUGAGUAACACUGGAUUACUAGAAAUCAGAGAAGCUAAAAGCAGCAACUCUUGUCAGAUGCCGAUAUAUUGGUCAAUCAAAAUCUUUCAAGGAGUAGAAAUGGCUUUUGAAUUGUUGAUGUUCACACCAA
rnacentral:misc_RNA from 1 species